rnacentral:rRNA from 1 species
UACGUAGGGUGCGAGCGUUAAUCGGAAUUACUGGGCGUAAAGCGUGCGCAGGCGGUUCGUUGUGUCUGAUGUGAAAGCCCCGGGCUCAACCUGGGAAUGGCAUUGGAAACUGGCGAGCUAGAGUGUGACAGAGGGGGGUGGAAUUCCGCGUGUAGCAGUGAAAUGCGUAGAGAUGCGGAGGAACACCGAUGGCGAAGGCAGCCCCCUGGGCUGACACUGACGCUCAGGCACGAAAGCGUGGGGAGCAAACAGG